UACGGAGGAUGCGAGCGUUAUCCGGAUUUAUUGGGUUUAAAGGGUGCGUAGGCGGAUUUUUAAGUCAGCGGUAAAAUGUCCGGGCUCAACCCGGGCCGGCCGUUGAAACUGGGGAUCUUGAGUGGGCGAGAAGUAUGCGGAAUGCGUGGUGUAGCGGUGAAAUGCAUAGAUAUCACGCAGAACUCUGAUUGCGAAGGCAGCAUACCGGCGCCCGACUGACGCUGAGGCACGAAAGCGUGGGGAUCGAACAGG
rnacentral:rRNA from 1 species